rnacentral:rRNA from 1 species
AUGACGGGUUCUUCUUCAUCUUGGUCUGUUCCGCCAGCCUCUGGGGAAUGUUCUUUACAAAAUGGCGAACGUUAUGAGAUAACCAAGGCCUUAUUGAAGUGCAAAAUGGCAGAAGGAAGCUCAGUGAGCCAACACCUGGUCAAGCUAGUUGGUUACAUGUGGAGGUUGGAAGCUUUGGGCUCUGCGAUCCCCGCUUGGCUUUGUACUGAUCUUAUCCUUCUGUCUCUCCCGCCAAGCUUUAAUGGCUUUAUCAUGAAUUACAUGAUGUACAAGAUGGACAAGAGCGUGAAUGAAUUGCUCGGGAUGCUCAAGAACGCGGAGUUUUGGAUACAGAAAGACACCAAUCAUGUGACGAAGAAGACCACUAGUUUCAAGAAGAAGGGCAAAGUCAAAAAUGGCAAGGGCGUCAGUAAGACCGACACCAAGGGAAAGCCUAAACGCGGGCCUACUAAAGAGACAGAGUGCUUCUUCUGCAAGGACAAGGGUCACUGGAAAAGGAAUUGCAAAAAGUUUUUGGCAGAAAAGAAGUCUGGAAAGUCCAGCACAAGGACUUCCGAGGACACAAGGACUGCUGAAGAAUGA